ACAUCAAGGGAAGGCUGAACAGCUACUACAGAGGAACAAGGCACCACGAAAAGGCUCGAACCAGAAAUGUCAGCAUCUGAUAGGGGGCCCCACCCUGCACACCACGCCCAUUCCAUCUGGCCUAAUACUCCCUCAUCCAAGUCCUAAGGCUCGCCAGAAAACAACCUGCCUCCUCAGCCAACACCCAUCACCACUAGACUCCCAAAGAAGGGAUAAGUAGACCAAGACUCUAAUACUCCAACUAAACCCAACAAUUCCCAACACAGCACUCAUUUCUAAAGAACCGACUACUACAGCGGACCUCGACCUCGAGGAAGCGAUAACGACAUAGAUGCAUCCAAUAUUCGGGCACUCCCAAACCCCGCACGAAUGCCUAAUCCACACAAACCACACAACAUCAAUCGAUUACCAAAGGCUCGCCGAAAUCUAGAAGCGAGGCAAAAGGAGCCUACAUUCUGCCACCGAAUCAACGGGAUCAAAUGAGGCAACACAAACUGCAAGGAACUAUAAACUGCUCCGCUCAACAAGUAAAUUACCACCCAUCUAAUAAGAACAGUCACAGUUACACUCAUACCACGCAUAGAACAAUCAGGCCCAGUAUAGUAAAGAAAUCAAGGAUUUAAGAUUACAGCCCACGUCCAAUCCGGGCCCACCACGCGCACCUCAACCACCAGCAUGCACCACUUGCGCGAGGGCUGGUCUUUGAAAAAUCAGGAAGCUGGCUCACAGUUUUGUAAAACCACAAUUCACAAGACUUUUGCCAGACAACAUUAGUUACAAUGACAUCACCCAUCGGAGUUUACGCCGAAAAAUUUACUACCCAAGAGCUUAUUUGGAGCACUAAACCUCGAAUCAAUUAGCCUAAACUAAAACAUGGAUUAAUGAAAAGAAGAGAUAAACCCAAUCUCAGCCCAAACAGAUGGCUGCCCAUUCGAGCUCUCAAUAAGGCGCUACAUGACAAGGAAUGAUACAUGCCGAUAGGAUGGUCCAGCAAGUUAUAGACCCUCCACCACUGAUUCCUAUGGCGAGUUAUAGACCCUCCAACUUGGAUUGAGCACAUGAGCAAACCUAGAUUCGUGACCGCCCACCACUCAAUUGGGCAGCUCAGAUCUAUGGCCACCUACCGCACUGCCGCGUGAACCAACCCCCGCUACGACCCACUACCAUCUUCGCCGAUGGCCGUCGGAUGGUCGGAGCCACAAGGAGACGAGGUGGAGGGCCGAACGGCAGGAGAAACAGAGGGGAAGUAAACCAAGUACAGAGGCUUGGCUGAUUUAAUCUCAUACGAGUGUAGAUAUAUUCCGAAAGGAAUAGACUAUAAGAAAUCAGGAAGAAUUCGGAUCUCCCUAUGAAUUUGUGAACCACCAGACAUAAUCAGUGGGUUUUGGUUCAAAAAUAUGAUUUUGGUAAAGGGGAAUGCAUUCUCUCUCUAGUCCUAAAAGAGAAGAUCUCAACGUACCGCAUAACCUUUACCUUUAUCUCCCCAAAAAAAAGAAAACCCCAUAGUAUUCCAUUCAUUGAAGAGGAUGAUAGUAUAAUUAGUAAUUUAGAUAUGGUUCGGUUGGUGCUGAGCCGCAGUUGGACCAUGGUACUUGUCAUGUCGCCUGCUUGGUUAGCGGGAUUUGUGAAACCGUUGAAUAUGAAGCAUGAAGGCUUUGGUUCAUGGUGACACAUGGCCUACUGAGCAGCAUGGACAUGCCGAAUAAACGAGUAGUUUAUUCAACUCUCUAGGCAAAAAGUAACCCACGGUUCAUCUACUACAGAAGGGAGCAGGGGUGGAUCAUCUGCUGUUCCUUCAUUGUGUGACGAGGAUUCUUCUUUGCCAUCUGUGCGUUCGCCUUUUUGGUUUGGUGUGUUCGGGGGCAUCAGUAGUGGAGUUUCUGAUUCAAUCGAUUGGGUUUUUGCAAUGGGAUCGAAGAUGCAUGGAGAUUAUGUUGAUUCAACCAAGUCUCUCUUUUCCUUUAAGGCCUAGGAAAUAGAACUCCUCAAAAUACUUAUUCAGAAGUUAAUCCAACAGAGUUGUACUCGACUUUUUUUUUCAUCUGUAUAAUCAUCUCUCUUUUCAAAUCAA